GGAAAGAUGGCUGAGUGGUCUAAAGCGUAGCAUUGGAAAUGCUAUUUAAGUAUCUACUUAACGGGGGUUCGAAUCCCCCUCUUUCCU
rnacentral:tRNA from 1 species